AUUGAACGCUGGCGGUAUGCUUAACACAUGCAAGUCGAACGGUAGCACGGUCUAGCUUGCUAGAUGGGUGACGAGUGGCGAACGGGUGAGUAACGCGUAGGAAUAUGCCUUGAAGAGGGGGACAACUUGGGGAAACUCAAGCUAAUACCGCAUAAUAUCUUCGGAUGAAAGUUGGGGACCUUCGGGCCUGACGCUUUAAGAUUAGCCUGCGUACGAUUAGCUAGUUGGUAGGGUAAAGGCCUACCAAGGCGACGAUCGUUAGCUGGGCUGAGAGGAUGACCAGCCACACUGGAACUGAGACACGGUCCAGACUCCUACGGGAGGCAGCAGUGGGGAAUAUUGGACAAUGGGGGCAACCCUGAUCCAGCAAUACCGCGUGUGUGAAGAAGGCCUGAGGGUUGUAAAGCACUUUCAGUGGGGAGGAGGAUUGAUUGGUUAAGAGCUGAUUGAUUGGACGUUACCCACAGAAGAAGCACCGGCUAACUCCGUGCCAGCAGCCGCAGUAA
rnacentral:rRNA from 1 species